CUUGCUUCUCUUGAGAGCGGCGGACGGGUGAGUAAUGCCUAGGAAUCUGCCUGGUAGUGGGGGAUAACGUCCGGAAACGGACGCUAAUACCGCAUACGUCCUACGGGAGAAAGCAGGGGACCUUCGGGCCUUGCGCUAUCAGAUGAGCCUAGGUCGGAUUAGCUAGUUGGUGGGGUAAUGGCUCACCAAGGCGACGAUCCGUAACUGGUCUGAGAGGAUGAUCAGUCACACUGGAACUGAGACACGGUCCAGACUCCUACGGGAGGCAGCAGUGGGGAAUAUUGGACAAUGGGCGAAAGCCUGAUCCAGCCAUGCCGCGUGUGUGAAGAAGGUCUUCGGAUUGUAAAGCACUUUAAGUUGGGAGGAAGGGCAGUAAAUUAAUACUUUGCUGUUUUGACGUUACCGACAGAAUAAGCACCGGCUAACUCUGUGCCAGCAGCCGCGGUAAUACAGAGGGUGCAAGCGUUAAUCGGAAUUACUGGGCGUAAAGCGCGCGUAGGUGGUUCGUUAAGUUGGAUGUGAAAUCCCCGGGCUCAACCUGGGAACUGCAUUCAAAACUGACGAGCUAGAGUAUGGUAGAGGGUGGUGGAAUUUCCUGUGUAGCGGUGAAAUGCGUAGAUAUAGGAAGGAACACCAGUGGCGAAAGCGACCACCUGGACUGAUACUGACACUGAGUGCGAAAGCGUGGGGAGCAAACAGGAUUAGAUACCCUGGUAGUCCACGCCGUAAACGAUGUCAACUAGCCGUUGGGAGCCUUGAGCUCUUAGUGGCGCAGCUAACGCAUUAAGUUGACCGCUGGGGAGUACGGCGCAAGGUUAAAACUCAAUGAAUUGACGGGG
rnacentral:rRNA from 1 species